UACGUAGGGUGCAAGCGUUGUCCGGAAUUAUUGGGCGUAAAGAGCUCGUAGGCGGUUUGUCGCGUCUGCUGUGAAAACCCGAGGCUCAACCUCGGGCCUGCAGUGGGUACGGGCAGACUAGAGUGCGGUAGGGGAGAUUGGAAUUCCUGGUGUAGCGGUGGAAUGCGCAGAUAUCAGGAGGAACACCAAUGGCGAAGGCAGAUCUCUGGGCCGUAACUGACGCUGAGGAGCGAAAGCGUGGGUAGCAAACAGG
rnacentral:rRNA from 1 species